rnacentral:ribozyme from 14 species
CGUGUUUGUUUGUUUUAUGUUUUUUUUUUUUUUGUUUGUUUCUUUUCUUUUCUUUUGUGUGAGAAU